UACGAAGGUGGCAAGCGUUGUUCGGAUUUACUGGGCGUACAGGGAGCGUAGGCGGUUCGGUAAGCCCUCUGUGAAAUCUCCAGGCUUAACCUGGAACAGUCGGAGGGGACUGCUUGGCUAGAGGACGGGAGAGGAGCGCGGAAUUCCCGGUGUAGCGGUGAAAUGCGUAGAGAUCGGGAGGAAGGCCGGUGGCGAAGGCGGCGCUCUGGAACGUUUCUGACGCUGAGGCUCGAAAGCGUGGGGAUCAAACAGG
rnacentral:rRNA from 1 species